AUGCUCACUUCAGCAGCACACAUACUAAAAUUGGAAUGAUACAGAGAAGAUUAGCCAGGCCCCUGCAAAAAGAUGACAUGCACAUUUGUGAAGCAUUCCAUAUUUUU
ensembl:snRNA U6 U6 spliceosomal RNA